AGUCCCCUACGGGACGCAGCAGUAGGGAAUCUUCCACAAUGGACGAAAGUCUGAUGGAGCAACGCCGCGUGAGUGAAGAAGGGUUUCGGCUCGGAAAGCUCUGUUGGUAGUGAAGAAAGAUAGAGGUAGUAACUGGCCUUUAUUUGACGGUAAUUACUUAGAAAGUCACGGCUAACUACGUGCCAGCAGCCGCGGUAAUACGUAGGUGGCAAGCGUUGUCCGGAUUUAUUGGGUUUAAAGGGUGCGCAGGCGGUCUGUUAAGGCAGCGGUCAAAGCCCGGGGGUCAACCCCGGCCCGCCGUUGAA
rnacentral:rRNA from 1 species